rnacentral:rRNA from 1 species
GAUGAACGCUAGCUACAGGCUUAACACAUGCAAGUCGAGGGGAAACGAUAGAGAAAGCUUGCUUUUUCUAGGCGUCGACCGGCGCACGGGUGAGUAACGCGUAUCCAACCUGCCCAUCACUUGGGGAUAACCUUGCGAAAGUAAGACUAAUACCCAAUGACGUCUCUAGAAGACAUCUGAAAGAGAUUAAAGAUUUAUCGGUGAUGGAUGGGGAUGCGUCUGAUUAGCUUGUUGGCGGGGUAACGGCCCACCAAGGCGACGAUCAGUAGGGGUUCUGAGAGGAAGGUCCCCCCACAUUGGAACUGAGACACGGUCCAAACUCCUACGGGAGGCAGCAGUGAGGAAUAUUGGUCAAAUGGACGAGAGUCUGAACCAGCCAAGUAGCGUGCAGGAUGAGGCCCUAUGGGUUGUAAACUGCUUUUAUAAGGGAAUAAAGUGGGAGUCGUGACUCUUUUUGCAUGUACCUUAUGAAUAAGGACCGGCUAAAUUCCGUGCCAGCAGCC